CUCGGAGCUGUCCGGCGUGGCUCCCUCUUCCAGGAUGGGUCCCAUUGAGCGAAGAUGAAAGGGGGUGGGAGAAAUGGGGGCGGGGAGGGGCGCUUGCUUUCCUCGUCCUCCUGCUCACACCGGCUGUUCCCUCAAGGCAAAAGGUCCCUAAUGACUUCCUUGAUUUUCUUGAUAAAACAGGACUUUUAUCCUAGAAGGAUGAGAAUCAGGCGAGGAGAUGCCAAACUUACUGCUCUAUGAUUUCAGAAACAGAGUGUCUCAGGUCUACGUGAGGACAGAGGGCAGAUAGCAUGAUCCUAAUAUCUCCCUGGCAUGCUUUCUUCCAGGUAUUGGUUCGUCCUUACCAUACUAAAACAUUCAUGAGCCGACCCUGUGAUGGGGACACCGCCAGGGCAGACACAGCCCGUUUGCAUGGUAUGGAGCUCACGGUUCAGUGGGGGACAUAGACGCAUCACCAGUGGGAAUGCAAAAUGGUACAGCCACUUUGGAAGACAAUCUGAAAAGGCAACUACACGGCAUCCUGGAAAAGGCAAAACUGUAGAGAUCAGUAAAAAGGUGUGUGUCUAGCUCCAUGAUGAAGAAUGCCAGCUUCUCCUGUGGAUGCUCAUACCAUCAAGGUGAGGUGUGAUCCAGCGGCUCAAACACUGGAAAGCAGUUAUUAUGGGCAAAGGCUCUGCAGUGUGACUGAUUGGAGUUGAAUCCUGACUCUACCACUCACAGGCUGGAUAAUCUUGGAAUGUGAAAUCCAUGAGGGUAGCAUUUUGUCCUCACAACAACAGAUGCACAAUAAAAAUUUGCUAAUUGAAAGAAGAAGUGAAGGAACAACUCGCAGCCCUGUCUGAUGCUCAUUCCAGCUUCAGGACAUUUCUUCUUGCUGUUCCCACUCUGUGGGAACUCUUGGAACAGCUGUCAUAUUUUGGCUUCCGUGUCUCAGCUUGAAGAACAUCGAUGAAUGGUCUUCUGUGGCACAACCAGCUAGGUGUCUGUUGACUGCCUGUCUGGGACUACAUUUCCCAGGGGCCCUUGCAUUCACUUGAGGCCAUGAGACUAGUUCUGUUCAAUGGUUUGAGAGCAGAAGUGAUGUAUGUCACUUUAGGGCCAAAGCUUUAUUUAAAAAAAAUUUUCCCCUGCUUUAUUGAGAUAUAAUUGAUAAAUAAUACUGUAAUAUAUUUAUAGUGUACAACAUGGUGAUCUGGUAUAUGUAUACAUUGUGAACUUAUUACCACCAUCAAGUUAAUGAACAGAUCCAUCACCUCACAUAGUUACCUUUGUUUGGUGAGAAUGCUUAAGAUCUAGUCUCAGCAAAUUUUAAGUACACAAUACAGUAUUGUUAACCACAGUCAGAUUAUACAUUAGAUCUCCAGACCUUAUUCAUCUUAUAACUGAAAGGUUAUAGGCUUUACCAGCCUGUCCCCAAUUCUGCCCUCCACCCCCCACCCCCAGUCCCUGGGAACCACCAUUCCACUCUCUGUUUCUAUGAGUUUG
rnacentral:lncRNA from 1 species